UACGUAGGGUGCAAGCGUUGUCCGGAAUUAUUGGGCGUAAAGAGCUCGUAGGCGGUCUGUCGCGUCUGGUGUGAAAAUCCAGGGCUUAACCCUGGACCUGCAUCGGGUACGGGCAGACUAGAGUGCGGUAGGGGAGAUCGGAAUUCCUGGUGUAGCGGUGAAAUGCGCAGAUAUCAGGAGGAACACCGGUGGCGAAGGCGGGUCUCUGGGCCGUAACUGACGCUGAGGAGCGAAAGCGUGGGGAGCGAACAGG
rnacentral:rRNA from 1 species